rnacentral:rRNA from 1 species
UACGUAGGUCUCAAGCGUUGUUCGGAUUCAUUGGGCGUAAAGGGUGCGUAGGCGGCGCGGUAAGUCGGGUGUGAAAUCUCGGGGCUUUAACUCCGAAACUGCAUUCGAUACUGCCGUGCUUGAGGACUGGAGAGGAGACUGGAAUUUACGGUGUAGCGGUGAAAUGCGUAGAUAUCUGGAAGAACACCGGUGGCGCAAGCGGAUUGCUGGGCCAUAACUGACACUGAGGAACGAAAGCUAGGGGAGCGAAUGGG